rnacentral:sRNA from 1 species
AAUUUUAUAUUUAAUCUUUCAUUACUUUAGAAUUCAUUUCUCUCUGAUGCAGUUGUCAAAUUUAUUCUUUCCAAACACAGAGCCAGUCAUGCUGGGCUUUUCAUUAAGCAAACACAGAGCCAGUCAUGCUGGGCUUUUCAUUAAGCAAAUAGUCGUUUUCCCACAGAAUUGGAUAGUAAAAUGUUAUCAUCUUAAAUAAAACCCUAAAUCAGUCUCGAGGGGUGCAGGGGAGUCAUACUUUAAAAAACAUGCUUAAACUUUGUUCUGGUUUAUUUUUUCCUCUUUGUGAUUCACAGGGAGUUCAUCUAUGACCCUGACUGGAAACAGCUAUGUGAAAUACCGUCUGACGGAAAAUGAAAACAAAUUAGAGAUGAAACUGACCAUGAGGCUCAGAACGUAUUCCACGCAUGCAGUUGUCAUGUACGCUCGAGGAACUGACUAUAGCAUCUUGGAGAUUCAUCAUGGAAGGCUGCAGUACAAGUUU